GUCCUCCAGCUGGCGCGAGCGCUGCGCCCGCCCUAGUCCCCGCCGCCUGGCUCCGGCCCGCGCCCUUCUCGCCGCGCACCUGAGCCGAGCUCCCCGGCGGCCGCCGAGCCGCGCCGGAGCUCCGGUUCGCUUCCCGCGCGCCGCCGCCAACGCCGCCCACGCCGCUGCCGUUCGUGCGGGGCCGCUGCCCAGGUGCCGCGGGAGGCCGGGUCCGCGGCCGCCGCUUCAGUGGCCCCGGCUCCCGCCCCGCCAAGGACGCCGGCCCGCGAGGAGGCAACUUUGCGUUCCCGCCGCCUUCCCGGCUCGCCCGCGGGCGCCGCUCGCCUGCCGGAGCCCGCCCGCCUGCCCGCCUUCCGCGCGCGCUCACACUCGCGCCUCGCACACGGCCGCCCCCCGCACCGCCCCGCCACGCACACAGCGCUCCGCGCCCCCCGCCGCUGCCCGAGGCUUCCGCGCGCCGCCCUAGCCCGCGCCGCCCUGGCCGCGCCCGCCCCGUCCCAUCUCGUUCCAGCGGGGCGCCGCGGUUCCCAGGUCAGCGGCCGCCCGGGCCCGGCUGAGAGGUGCGGAGCGCAGAGCCCGCGGGCGGGUUAGCGCCCGGCGCCGGAGACCGGAGGGCUGGGGGAAAGCGGCGCCGGCCCUGCGUCCCCAGCCGACCCGGGCGCGGGGCGCCACAGGCGUGGGGCGCGGGGCAGCGGGCGCGGGGCGGCGCCGGCCCCGGGCGGCUCUCCCACUAGGGGUAGCUGUUGCCUGAACGCCGGAGCGCUCCCCUCUCGCCGCUUGCCUCGCCCAGCACAGCCCCGGCCGCCGGGCGCACCCGUCCCGUUCGUCCCCGGACGUUGUUCUGUACCCCGGGAACGUCGAGACUGGAGCGCCCGAACUGAGCCACCUUCGUGGACCCCGAGCGCGGCGGCGCGACUCACCGCGGAGGCGCCCGGACGCGUCAAUUGCGGGGACUUGUUUGGAGCGGUGGGGCCGGAGCCCAAAUCCGAAGCCGCCGCCACCAGCGUCCCGUGCGCCUGCGGCCCCGGGGACCAGCCGCCGAACUUCUUCUCAGGACGGAGACAGCGCUCGCCGCCCGGGCCGAGGCCCAGCCGAAUAGGAGGCUCUGAUCCACACUCUAGCCCCAGGGACGUUCAGGGAAGCAGCCCUUCCUUAGGGCUGUCAGCUGCCUUGGGGACCUGUUGCUGUGUCGUGGGCCCACAGACUGCACUCCAUACGUCAGGACGCCAGAACACUGGACAAGGCUCGAAGGCCCAUUUGGCUCCCUCAGCCUCUUGUGCAGACCCCCAUUUCUCCUCCUCCUCUGCUGCCCUCACCUCUGCCUGGGCCCUCCCAGCUCCCGGGGGAUGGAAGACGGCUGAACUCCACUCCCUGCUUGCUCGUCAUCCUCUUCAUCGGUCCUCCCGGAGCGGUCCUCUGCGCCACAGCCUCCACUGCCCCAGGGCUCACCCCCAGCUUCUGCCUCUGACUCCAGACCUGCCCCUCCCAGGCUAGCCCAGAUGAGAUCCUGUGCAGUGACUAACCCGAACCAGCGUGGGGCAGGGAUACAAUAAACCUCUGUGAAUUGAGUCAAUGAGUGUGGUGUGGACUUACUGAAAACUCCUUGUUUUGGGAGAAAUGCAGGGAUUUCACUCUGUCCUUUUGCACACCUGCAGCAGUGAGCACGUCGGCAGCCAGGGCUGAGCGCAGCUGGUCAGGACCUGCCACUGUGAGCAGACACUUCUUGGGAAGUCCCCUGGGGCAUGGUGUCUAGUGAAUGCACCCGUGACCUGGUCACUGGCCCAAUCUGUUUUCCUUUCUGGGCUAAACAGGUCCUCCCACGGGUACCUGGGCCCUCCCACGGAGGUGUAUACCCUACUCAUGUGUUUAAAGAAUGAAUCCUAUCCACACACUUGGCUAGGCUGAGCAAGGGGACACCAUGCAGGGGGUGGGAGGUGGCUGAGGGACCACAGCUGUGGUCUGAGAGGUGUCCCCAACAUGGCACAUCUCCAUCCCUCUGGGAGCUCGAGGCAGGCAUGGGGAGGUGCCGGGACUCCAGGGUGACUGGGCAGGCUGGGAUCCCGGCCAGGACAGCUUGUCAGGGCCCCAGGGCCUGGAUCAAGCAGGGGUGUUUGGCAGCAUUUUGGGGUUGGAGAAGGUCUGGGGCUCCUGGCCAAGGCAAGGAGAAGGCCUAGGAAGCAGCGCCUUGGCUACUGGCUGUGUGACCCUGGGCACCUCUGGUCUCAGGUCUCAUCUGCAUCAGGAGUGGGUCUGGUGGUGACUUUCCAGUGCCUUCUCCAUUCGGCCAUUCUACAUGGCAGAAGGUUCUAGGACGUUCUAGUAGACCCCGUGCUGCCCCUGUGUGCUGCUCUGUGGCUGCUGAGAGCCCCACUUGAGAAUGAAGCUGCCCCAGUGCUGGUCCUACCUGGCCUCAUGCUCUGCCACUUCCACCCAAUACCGCCUUUGCCUGUCUGCUUCCUGCCGCAGCUCAGGGCCCUCCGCUCUGACUUGUUCCUGGCAUGAGUGCGGUUGCACUCCCUGGUGCUCAGCCAGACCCCAGGGCACAGGACGAUGUCUUGUCAGAAGUUGGCUGUGGGUGCCUGGGUCCUGCCUGGAGCUGGGCGGGGUGCUGGGAUGCUGGGCCACUUGUGCCAUCACAGACUCCGCUCUGAGCCGGGCCCUGUGGCUGUGUGGGGGUCCACCUUGGGGGUCAGUCCCUCCUUUCCACCUGCAGUCCACUCUGGAGAAAGAUGGGGCUCAACUGACCCGCAGAUAGGCCUCUCAGGCCCCGUGCUUCUCUGAGCCUCAAUUUCUUCACUGGAAAGGCGGGCCUCAUGUCUGAAUGUGUUGUGUUCACCAUGACAUGUGGGGCAAGUGUAAAGUCUAUAUGCGUGCAUGUGUGAGCUCGUAUGUGUGUGUGCGCGCAUGUGUGAGCUCGUGUGUGUGUGUGCACGCGCAUGUGUGAGUUCGUGUGUGUGUGUGCGCAUGUGUGAGCUCGUGUGUGUGUGGGCAUGUGUGAGCUUGUGUGUGUGUGUGUGUGUCUGUUUACUUGAGCCCAGCCUUGUUCCAGAGAGGUUUUCACGAUGCCUCUAGGAAGCUUUGGAAUCCCAGAAGAUACCACAAGUGAGAAGAAAACAUAAAACCAGAGGAAGGACAUGCUUCCCAUCUGGGGAAGAAGGACAGCCGCAGCGUUCUCGGCGUGGGCUGUGGAACAGCCGCAGGUUUUGCCCUGAUUACCCUGGUGGUAAAGUCUGCUUGGCUAUGAUUCCCAGUGUCCAAAAGCUAAACACGGGCUGUGCAGUGGAGCCACACACAUGCCUGUGCGCGGUCACGCCCAUCAGAAACCCAGCCCCUCUGCUUGGGAGGCACGCAGGGCUCAGGCUGAAGCCUGAAGCUUGGGCUCCUCAGAGUACAGAGGACCCAGGCUGUGUGGAGUCAGUGACAGAGCUCGGAGAGGAGAGGGAGUCUUGACUGCUGUUGCCAGUGGCUUGGAGCUGCCUGCGCAGAGGUGACGGCGAUGUGCGUGGUGGUGUGUUCUCCGCACUGCAGGCCCAGGGCCGUGUCGUGGUGACCGGCAUCCUCCUGAGCUGUUUGACCUUUAGGGGGGCCCCUUUCACUCAAGCGCUGGUCCUGGAGGGGCUCUGGACACAAAGAGUCAGGCACAUUUUUGCCCUU
ensembl:lncRNA